GGGGAUGACUUGGUUUCGACUGGAGUAGUCGGAGUUAUGUGCAUGUCGGACUGGGCAACUCCGUUACACGGCUCAAACGCGAAUAAACGCAAACAAUACAGAUUACCGUCCAGCUUACGCAGUAGCGUAAGUAUAACCCCGCUCUGCGGAGGACUGCCUCGCUGAUGAGUGUCAUCUUAAUCAGACUUUGAGGUAUCACAUCUGAUGACUAUGCUCUAUGGAAGCUAUGCCAUAGUGUGAGAAUCCUAGCUGGUCUUGUGUAGCCUUGGGUGUUGUGCAAAGCAAGAUGAGAUUUAACAUCACCGACUAAACAUGUAGAGUCAUAACACUAGCUAUUUUAGGACAGGGGUUCAAUUCCCCUCGUCUCCACCA
rnacentral:tmRNA from 1 species